UCCCUGGCAGUCCAGUGGUUAGGACUUGGUACUUUUAGUGCCGUGGCCUGGGUUCAAUCCCUGGUCAAGGAA
rnacentral:tRNA from 1 species